rnacentral:rRNA from 1 species
GCAUUCACUUUAAAUAGGGCUCCGUCGAAAUCCGUUGAGACGACACCAUAUGAAUUGUGGUUUGGGAAGAAACCUAAGCUGUCGUUUCUGAAAGUCUGGGGAUGCGAUGCUUAUGUCAAGAAACUUCAACCUGAAAAGCUCGAACCCAAAUCGGAAAAAUGCGUCUUCAUAGGAUACCCUAAGGAAACUAUUGGGUAUACCUUCUACCUCAGAUCCGAAGGCAAGAUCUUUGUUGCCAAGAAUGGAUCCUUUCUAGAGAAAGAGUUUCUCUCGAAAGAAGUAAGUGCGAGGAAAGUAGAACUUGAUGAAGUAUUGCCUCUUGAACCGGGGAGUAGCGCAGCUCAAGAAAAUGUUUCUGUGGUGCCUGCACCAACUAGAGAUGAAGUUAAU